GAUGAAGAACGCAGCGAAAUGCGAUAAGUAAUGUGAAUUGCAGAAUUCAGUGAAUCAUCGAAUCUUUGAACGCACAUUGCGCCCGCCAGUAUUCUGGCGGGCAUGCCUGUUCGAGCGUCAUUACAACCCUCAGGCCCCCGGGCCUGGCGUUGGGGAUCGGCGGAGCCCCCCGUGGGCACACGCCGCCCCCCAAAUGCAGUGGCGGUCCCGCCGCAGCUUCCAUCGCGUAGUAGCUAACACCUCGCGACUGGAGAGCGGCGCGGCCACGCCGUAAAACACCCAACUCUUCUGAAGUUGACCUCGAAUCAGGUAGGAAUACCCGCUGAACUUAAGCAUAUCAAUAAGCGGAGGA
rnacentral:misc_RNA from 1 species